rnacentral:rRNA from 1 species
AGCGAAAGCUUGAACGAGUGAUCUAACAAGAUGAUAAAUUAUUAUUUAAUAAAUAUAGAAUAUAUAUUUAUAUAUAUUAAUGAAUAAUAAUAUAGUCUAAAACAUAAAAUCUCUCCUAUAAUAGAACAUAAUGAGAUAUUUAAUAUAGGGAAGCCCUAACCAAUCACUGUGCCAGCCGUUGCGGUUAAACAGUCAGGGCUAGCGGUACACUACAACGGUCUAAAGCGUUAGCAGUACGGUUAUAUACUAGAAUUAUAUAUUAAAAAUUAAAUGAAGUAUAUGUGUAGGGGUCAAAUCCGAGAAUUCAUAUAAGACAACCAAUAUAUGAAAGUAUUUAAUUUAUAUAUAAUUGACGUUCAGUAACGACACCUAGAGUAUCGAAUUGGACUAGUCACCCAAUUAGUUCUAGGCGUAAACUAUGUGUGUUGGUUAUUUAAUUUUAAAUAAAUUAAUAAACUAAGCGAAGGCGUAUAACACAUCACCGGAGGAGUACGGCACACGGCUGAAACUUAAAACAUUAGGCGGUGCAGGUUAUUAACAGUGGAUCAU